AAUUAUUGUACAAAGCCAUUUCAAAACUCUGGCUAUUGUUUAUCAAUGAAGUUGUAAAGGCUUAUAAAAUACUCAAAGUUAAUUAAAUUCGAUUCAUUCUAACACCUCAGCGUAAGGAAGAAGUCGGAUCUAUGUAAUUAAGUUGCUUUAGAAAUAUGUCAAGGUAAUAAGACAGACUCAGUCCUGGCUGUGGCACCUAUCUGUGAAGAAGCUCACACUAAAGUGCAGCUCACUGUGCCACUGCGUGAAAUUACACUAAAAAGCCUAUUUUUCCCCCUCUCAUGCGCGCUCAUGAGCACGCGUUCACGUUUGGCAGCUCCACGUCGACAUUCUUCCAGCUGCAUAUAGUGAAGUGCACAGGACUGGGGGAAGAAAAGGUAAAAGCGGCGACGGCCACCUUACGACUGGAGCGCUGCAAGUCCGCAGACGGACACCGACCGCAGUGAAAACAGGCGUUUGCAGAGUGAAUCCGGCUAUGGCUUGCAAAGUGCUCACAUCGCUUUCUGCUUUUGCAUUUUUGUGAUCCAGACUACUUGCCCCCUCGUGUUGGAUUGCAGCUGGUUCCUUUGCGUCUACCUUCAUCAGGAUAAGGAGCAGCCAUGAGGAGGAUAAGGUCCUGCACAAGGACAAACCUAUGAGGUGGCACUGUGGCUUUCCAAAUAAAGUUCUGUGAUACACUUAGACUCUAAUUGCUCGCAGUCAGUGCAUUACAGAACUUUGUUUUGGGAGUUAAUACUUUAGCCUGUGGGAAAAAUCCUCCAACAUCUGGACAUUUAAAUUUACUGCAGUGGUGACACAUGAACUGUUUUCUAAAAUAAAGUUUCCUUCUGUUUCAAGCA